UACGGAGGGGGCUAGCGUUGUUCGGAAUUACUGGGCGUAAAGCGCACGUAGGCGGACUGGAAAGUCAGAGGUGAAAUCCCAGGGCUCAACCUUGGAACUGCCUUUGAAACUAUCAGUCUGGAGUUCGAGAGAGGUGAGUGGAAUUCCGAGUGUAGAGGUGAAAUUCGUAGAUAUUCGGAGGAACACCAGUGGCGAAGGCGGCUCACUGGCUCGAUACUGACGCUGAGGUGCGAAAGCGUGGGGAG
rnacentral:rRNA from 1 species